CAAGAAGUUUCCCAUCGAAACACGGUGAAAACCUAGCCCAGCCAAUCCCUUCCCAUCCUCGAGCCCUGUGCCACCCCUCUUUCCUUCGACAUCGCCCUCUUCCUCCUCUCCACCGCGCCGCCACUCCUCUCCACGGCGGUGAGCGACAGGGCCACGUCCACGAGAGGAGCGUACUGCCCGCUGCAGCCGCCAUGCGUCGUGGUGCCGGAUCGGCGCAGGUCGCCGCCGGGAGAGAGGCUCGUCGUGGUUCCGAUCGGCGCAGGUCGCCGCCGUGGGAGAGCAUGGGUGGCCUGGUCUUCUGGAGGAGCAGGGGGCGGCUGAUGAGGUGGCGGUGGUAGGGGGAGGAGGAGGUCCUCGUCAUCCACCACAACCGUCUGGUUCGUAGUCGUCGCCUAGGUCAUGUGCUCCGGUUUGGCUUUUAUCCGGCUCCUCUCCUCUCCCCGUCGGCGCCAGCGCGCUGGCCAUGAGGCAUGAGGUGAGCGAGGAGAGGAAGGGGGAAGAUGCGUGAGGAGGAGGAGGAGGACCAGGAGCGAGGAGGAGGAGGACGCCUGGAUUUGGCCCCGGCCUCGGCCUCAGCCCGUGGAGUUGGUGAUGGCAUCGUCAGAGGCCCGGGCCUCCUCCCCGGACAAGGCACUCGUGCUAUUCGGCGGCGAUCUGUGCGCCGGUUCAAGGGCCGGGUUAAGGAGGAUGUCGACGGCAUGGAUCCGUCGACGGGAGCCUGGUGGGCGUGGCGGCGGCUGGAAGGGUAGCAGGGGCCUGUGGGGCGUCGGCCGGAACGGUAGCGAGAGAAACCUUCUCUUCUCCCCUCCUUGCGUCCUGGGCAUCUUCCUCUCCAAGUAUGUUCUAUAAUGCAGGUGAUGGGCUGCUGAUUUUAUUACGCACCUGUGCUGAUUUUGAGUGACUUCCACUUCAUUUGAUAUCUACUGUACAAGUAAUGGCACUAAUACAAUUGAUAUCAAAUUAAUGGAUUUGCUAACAGAUUGCCUCUUGUGAUGUUAAUUGAUUUGCAGGUUUACUGGUUUUGGUUCAGUUUGAAGGGCUCACCGGGCUUAAGAUCUUGGUUUCAUUAGAAUUACAGAAUUUCUUUGCUCAGUAGUCUUGCCGUCUUGCCGCUGGUGGCAGGUUUUACUUUGUGGGGUGUAGGUUCUAUUGCCGGUGACACCUCAUGAAUUUUCUUUUCAAUCUUUAAUUAGUCUUGCCGUCUUGCCGCUGGUGGCAGGUUUUACUUUGUGGGUUGUAGGUUCUAUUGCCGGUGACCCCUCAUGAAUUUUCUUUUCAAUCUUUAAUUUAUAUGGUCGUUCGCUGGAUGCUCGCUGCUAUGUAUGGUUCAUAUGGUCGCCGACUCGAAAAUCACUGCUAUCUUUGGGUCAUCAUAUGGCCGUCGACUAGACGCUCGCGGUCUGAAUGAUCUCAUUGCCUAUGGCUGGCAAUACACACUUUUCAUUACUAGCCAGCCAGGAAGGUGUCUCGGCUCGCGAUCGCUGCGCAGCGGCAGCGCUCAUUACUACCUGCCAGGCCUUCUCAAAGUGACUGAAAUUUGGUAAAUUCCAUUCCUUUGUGCUGCAUUGUACCUUCCAUGCUUUUUGCAGUCAGUGAAUCUGAUAUCAUAACCUCUCAUUUAGAAUUUUCUUGAUAGGCAAAACAACCAGUUCUCAUUUAUCUGGAUGGUUUUCAAAAUGGCAUAAUAUGUCAUUUGCACUAUCAUCGAUCUUAGUUGCUCCAGUUUUUCAUAGAUUACUAUUGUGUAGACUUUGUCUUUUCCACUUACCAUCGCCAUUUUUGUGAUGAUACUUCACUAGGAAUAUUCUUUGGUGCUUCUCAUCUGAAAAUGGAUUCAGAAUGUGGUCAGUUUUGCAAUGCAUGGGAGUUCAAUUUUUCUGCAUGCACAGUUAUAUAUUUUUAGUCCAUUGAAUUGAAAAGUGAGUGCUUCUUGGUUGUUUCUGUUGUUUAUCCAGGAGGUUCUUGGUGCUUGGUUUUUUGCUACUUGUGCAGUAUUAUACUAUGCCCAUAUAAAUGACGAAUUAUAUUUUGUUCCGCGGACGAGCAAAGUUUGUUGUCUGCGUAGUAACUUUGGUGGCGAGCCCGAGCGCCGGUGGGAGCAGGGGCCGGGUCAAGGCAGGUGUUGACGGUCUGGGAUGGUCCACGGCACCGGCAUCCAUAGCAGAAAGGCGAAGCCAAGAUGAAUCUCUCAUAUUUUUGUCAGCCAUGGAUCGGAAGAUGUAGAAGAAAAAUCCAUGUUUUGUUUCUUUGUGCCUACAUGGUGUUUGCUGAAAUCCAAAAGGGCUGACAGGGGAGGACUGAUCUAUUUCAAAGAAAACCACCAUCUGAAGAAUGAGGGCAGGACAUAUCUUGGUCUUCUCUUCAAGGGAUAGCGUGUUUGAGUUGGUCCAAACUUAAUGCAUUCAAGGGAUCACCAAUUUUUGGCGCUGGUUGAGAUUGGGUAGGCUGGACCAUGAAUUCCUAGAAGAUUGUGGCAAUUCUCAUGCUCGCUUGCAAGGAUGCUUCGUGAAUUGGAGAGAUUGGGACCGAACACUAAACCCAAAUGUCGCUCAUGAGCCGAGUGGUUGUGGUUAGCUCGGGAAGAGACACCAACGCAAAUGAACUGCAUUGAUAAGCUCACAGUCAAAUGGAUUAAUGCAAUGGGUGAGAAGGAGAAGUCAUUGUCUUCUUUGUUGGAACAUUCCCUAAGAUGAUCCAAGAAAUUUCACCGAGAUAGGACUCUUCGGAUAUCAAAGACUGCUGGGGGCACGUUGAUUACCUUCAGGUACAAUGAUUUGCAGCAUGCCACCAGCAACUUCUCAGAGAAGCCGGGGGGAGGUGCCUUCGGCUCAAUGUUCAAGGGGAAGCUCCCAGAUUCAACAUCCAUGGUGAAAUAAAUAGGAGAAUUGUAACGCCCCAAGACCGAUGCUCCAGAAGCCUUCCAGUUAUUUCGUUGUUGUCGUGUGAUUUAUUUGUGUGUUUGCAUUCAUCAUCGCAUCAUCUGCAUUGCAUCCGCUCGUAGUUGCCGCGUUCCUCCUUGCUUUCGUGACCGUUCCGAGACCAACCUUGUUCUUCGUUUUCCCUCUUGCUUA